CAGCCGCCACGGGAAUACAGAGGGUGCGAGCGUUAAUCGGAUUUACUGGGCGUAAAGCGUGCGUAGGCGGCUUUUUAAGUCGGAUGUGAAAUCCCUGAGCUUAACUUAGGAAUUGCAUUCGAUACUGGGAAGCUAGAGUAUGGGAGAGGAUGGUAGAAUUCCAGGUGUAGCGGUGAAAUGCGUAGAGAUCUGGAGGAAUACCGAUGGCGAAGGCAGCCAUCUGGCCUAAUACUGACGCUGAGGUACGAAAUCAUGGGGAGCAAACAGGAUUAGAUACCCCCGUAGUCCCUGUCUCUUAUAC
rnacentral:rRNA from 1 species